UUCGCCCUUAUUAGAUACCCUGGUAGUCCGCACGGUAAACGAUGGAUGCCCGCCGUCGGCAUAUGAUGUCGGCGGCCAAGCGAAAGCGUUAAGCAUCCCACCUGGGGAGUACGCCGGCAACGGUGAAACUCAAAGGAAUUGACGGGGGCCCGCACAAGCGGAGGAACAUGUGGUUUAAUUCGAUGAUACGCGAGGAACCUUACCCGGGCUCAAACGCGGUAUGACGGAUCUUUGAAAGGAGGUCUUUCUACGGACAUACCGCGAGGUGCUGCAUGGUUGUCGUCAGCUCGUGCCGUGAGGUGUCGGCUUAAGUGCCAUAACGAGCGCAACCCCCAUCGCCAGUUGCCAACAGGUAAAGCUGGGAACUCUGGCGAGACUGCCGGCGCAAGCUGCGAGGAAGGCGGGGAUGACGUCAAAUCAGCACGGCCCUUACGUCCGGGGCGACACACGUGUUACAAUGGCAGGUACAGCGGGAAGCCACCGGGCGACCGGGAGCAGAACCCGAAAACCUGUCUCAGUUCGGAUUGGAGUCUGCAACUCGACUCCAUGAAGCUGGAUUCGCUAGUAAUCGCGCAUCAGCCACGGCGCGGUGAAUACGUUCCCGGGCCUUGUACACACCGCCCGUCAAGCCAUGGGAGUCGGGAGUGCCUGAAGUACGUGACCGCAAGGAGCGUCCUAAGGCAAAACUGAUGACUGGGGCUAAGUCGUAACAAGGUACC
rnacentral:rRNA from 1 species